ensembl:lncRNA
GGAGGUUCUAGAUGGACCUGUAUGGAGAUGGGAGGUUCUAGAUGGACCUGUAUGGAGAUGGGAGGUUCUAGAUGGACCUGUAUGGAGAGGGGAGGUUCUCGAUGGACCUGUAUGGAGAUGGGAGGUUCUAGAUGGACCUGUAUGGAGAGGGGAGGUUCUCGAUGGACCUGUAUGGAGAUGGGAGGUUCUAGAUGGACCUGUAUGGAGAGGGGAGGUUCUCGAUGGACCUGUAUGGAGAUGGGAGGUUCUAGAUGGACUUCAAUGGAGAUGGGAGGUUCUAGAUGGACCUGUAUGGAGAUGGGAGGUUCUAGAUGGACCUGUAUGGAG